rnacentral:rRNA from 1 species
CGUUGAAAAGUGUGCGGAUUAACUUGGGGUGGCGGAGAAAUUCCAAUCGAACUUGGAGAUAGCUGGUUCUCUCCGAAAUAGCUUUAGGGCUAGCCUCAAGUGAUGAUUAUUGGAGGUAGAGCACUGUUUGGACGAGGGGCCCCUCUCGGGUUACCGAAUUCAGACAAACUCCGAAUGCCAAUUAAUUUAACUUGGGAGUCAGAACAUGGGUGAUAAGGUCCGUGUUCGAAAGGGAAACAGCCCAGACCACCAGCUAAGGUCCCAAAAUAUAUGUUAAGUGGAAAAGGAUGUGGCGUUGCCCAGACAACUAGGAUGUUGGCUUAGAAGCAGCCAUCAUUUAAAGAGUGCGUAAUAGCUCACUAGUCGAGUGACACUGCGCCGAAAAUGUACCGGGGCUAAACAUAUUACCGAAGCUGUGGAUUGUCCUUUGGACAAUGGUAGGAGAGCGUUCUAAGGGCGUCGAAGCAUGAUCGCAAGGACAUGUGGAGCGCUUAGAAGUGAGAAUGCCGG